rnacentral:lncRNA from 1 species
GUGGGCCUUACCUUGUGUUUAAGUUGUCCAUAUUUUUGUUGACUCCUGUUCAUGAGACCAGAAUCAAAUGCUACGUAUGACAAGUCAAAUCCAAAUUAUAUUCUAUCCUUUGUGCACACAAAUGAAAUGGAGCUAGUUAGAUGUCACUUUCAUACAAAAUUACGAAACAAAUGUCACUUCAAACUAGCUGGUCAGCCUAAUCUUUUUUGUUCUUCCAUAUACUCUUUCUAUUGCCACUGCCACCCACAACCCCACCAUCGGGUGACCUCCGUUGUAAUUCAUCUAGAAUGGAAAUAUAAUACUCGCAUAUACUUCUUUUCUACUGCAUCCUGAUUUUUCUAUAAUAUCUCUACACAUGACCCUUUCAAAUUCCUUCAUUUUUUCACUCACCUUCAUGGACAUUUUAAGAAAUCUAUCUACCAAACAUCAGUAAUGCUAGGAGUUGAGUAAAAUUCUUCAGUCAAUAUUCAAGGGAAAAAAAAUACUUGCUCUGAAUGCAACAAACGUGGCCGAAAAAACAUGCCAUAUAUGUAUGUUCUUGAUCGUUACGGAAUAUUUGAAAUGUAGGCGUCCUAAUUUCUUAUAGAUUUCUGUAAUCAAUCUUGCAGUCUGAACAUUUACUGAAUCUUUCAAUUUUUUCUUUGAAUGCUAAAAUAUUUGGAGCUAUGCCUUGCAGUCCAGAAAAUACCAUCUUUUCAGCGUCUUCAUAUACCUUAGAAAGUACUCUAUCAGCAGAAUAUCAUGUGGUUCAUCACUGAAUAUGGAAAAUUCAAUCCUCCUAAGGUGUUCUACCAAACACGAUAACUAGCGAACGAUAUAGAGCUACAUCCCCUGCUAGAGUUGAUGCCCGAGUGCCUAAGCAAGCAUGCUAUUGAAGAAAAAAUUAGUGUAUUAAAAAAUUUAUAAUUUGCUUGCUAAUCUAGAAAAUUAUACCUCAUCGAAUGAAUGAUCAGCUCUUUAAGUUGGGAAGCACUUCCAAGGAUGCCCCGCACUAUUCUGGAAUCAGCAACCACCAACUCUAAAGUCGUCACAUAUUCUAACACGAAAUUCAAUGGACUUGAGUACGUAGCCUUCGUGAAAAUAAAAGAGUGAAAAAAAUAAUAUCUGACAUAUCAUCAUACCCAGAUUUGAAAAUAGACUUUUAAGGUUCUGCAUGGUAAUAUCAAAAACUUUUAUGUGUCCCAAUGAACCAGAUAAGGACAAACUCUUCCAUAGAUUUACAACCUGUAAAAAACCGUCUCAUUGAAUCACUAUCAACAGCACUUGAGGUGCUGAAAUUUAGAGGACAUAUUGUUUUUUAUGCCCCCAAACUUGUAUCCUUACUUAAUCUAAAGGUGUUCCACUCUAUAAAUUUAAUGAGCUUAUUAUCCUAGCUUAUUAUCCUAGGUCGGAACAAGUUGAUAGGAUCCACUUUUUUAUGUCCCCAUGUGUAGCGACAUGGAGGCGAAAAAAGUGGCAUAGCGAGCCCCCAGUGGGAGGCUCGCACGACUGGCUAUUAGCUCAAUGGUAGAACUCGAAAAUCUCUUAUCUUUUAAUUUAGAAUGAACUAUUCCUUGUUUUUCAAAAGAAUCCUUUAUUUCAAGCUUAAGAAAAAAAGGGAUUCCUUGAUAUGCAUUAAAUCUACAGAUUGGAACGCUUUCAGAUUAAGUAAGGAUACAACUUCGGAGACAUCAAAAACAAUAUGUCCUCUAAACUUCAACACUUCAAGUGCUAUUGAUAGUGAUUUAAUGAGACGAUUUUUCACAAGUUGUAAAUCUGUGGAAGAGUUGUCCUUAUUUGGUUCAUUGGGACACAUAAAAAAUUUUUAUAUUACCACGCAAAACCUUAAAAAAAAAAUUAAAAUCUAGUUAUGAUGAUAUAUCAGACACUAAACUCUCUAUUAAUGCGCCGAAACUAUAAAUUUUUUAUUAUUUUGGUAAGUCGCUUGAGUUCGACUUGAUGAAGAAAUUUAAGUUUCUUGCUAGAAUGCAAAUUCUUAUUGUAGAGAAUAUGCAAGAUCGGGAGGCAGUGUGCAAUUUUAUCGACAGCUUCAGUGGUGUGAAGUCUCUUUCUUUGUCAGAAGAUGCUAUACUAGUAAAAUCUAACGCUGGAAACUCAUAUUCUAAUAAUAGAAUUAGUUAUAUUAGUAUACUUUUCUCACUCUCUUCUAUUUUCUCGAAGGCUACGUACCCAAGUCCAUUGAAUUCCGUGUUAGAAUGUGUCGACUUAGGAGGGAAAGGUUUAUCCAUUUCCUGGAUCGAGUGCAGAGUGCAACAGCUAACUUAGUGUCAAGUUUUGACAAUACAAGGAAAAUGAUCUCAUCAAGUAGUGAAGUCAUUUUAGCAGGAAUACAUUCGGGUGCCCUCGAUUUCGAGUCCUACAGUAAUUAAUAUAUACACAGGCCAUUAGUCAGAAAAGAAAACAGGGUCUAUUAGGAAAUGCCAGGAAAAGAACGAAGGUCUCACAAUAUCAAGCUGACAUUGGUGCUCCAUCCUAUCCCUCCCCUGGACAAUAAGAGACUGAUCAACUUACUUUUGCUUCAAAGCAAAACAACAGAAGCACAAUUGGACAACUCAACAGUUUUAGUUUUACUUAUAACAUCAAUUAUAGAUGUAUUAGUAUGUAAUUGAAUCCAUAUCUAACUGUGAAUCCUUACUUACUAAGAUGCAAAAAUUAAACAAUAAAUUCAUCUAACUAUUCAUCCUGCAAUUCAAUCAUUCUACCAGAAAUUUAAGUGAAAAUUGACUGAAACUUUGCAAUUAACCACAAUCUGACAAUUAGCACAUCACCAACCAAGUUAAUUAUGUAAAUUGAACAAUUAAACAUUACUAAACAUCCUCCAUAGUUUGAGUAUGUUUUACACCACUGGACAAUAUACAAUUUAAUCAAAAGAUCGACCAAAUAAGUAAUCAACAAACUUGAGGACAAUUAAGAAGGUGUAGAAACCGCACUAAUUAAUUCAGAUAAAUUAACUCAAAAGAAUGGAAUCAACUUACUUUUGUGUCAAAAUCUGAUUGAAUUAGAAUUUGUGAACAGAAGCUUCUCAAUGGCGAGAGGAUGUUAAUUUCUUUCAAAUGAUUAUAAUGAUGUGAGAAUGUGCGCCAAGAUAUUUAUGUAAAUAUUCAGUUUAAUUAGGGAAAAUUGCAGUGCAGUCCCAAACGUUUCACUUAAUUACAGAAAUAAUAUUCAAACAGAAAUAAAUAAAUCCAGUGACUUUGAAAUCCACAUGAACGCCGAGUAAAGAAACAAUGGAUUGAACAAGAAGUAUGCAUACAGAUACACACCAAUUCAUCCAACCAAUACAACAGUUUUAUUCACAUUUCUUGAUUAACGAACAAGAAUUAAGAACCGAAUUUAUCCUAAAAUCUGCAAAUAUAUUCACGCUCAUACUGUGCCUUUGAAAAAUUCUGCAAAUAAAUAGAAAGAAAAGAGAUCAAAUCAAUUAAUUACCUGAUUAAACAACAAAGAAUUAUACAGGAGCUUGAUUAUUCUUCUUCCCCUAUGGUUCGUUUCUAGAGAAAAACAGAGUGUUCAAGAGAGAGAGAGCCGGUGAUGAAAUCAAUUAAUUACCUGAUUAAACAAUAAAAAAUUAUACAGGAGCUUGAUUUUUCUCGAUAAUAUUGUUCAUCUCUAGAGGAAAAGCAGAGAGUGUUAGAGAGAGAGAGAAUAGGGUUUUUUGAAGAAGAAGAGACCGGUUUAUAUAAUACGAAGGGGAGGGCAAUUUGAGCAGGGCCGGCCUUGGCCAUUGCCUUCACCUCAAAUUUCAAGGGCCUCAUAAGAAAAAUGAGCCCAAAAAAAAUUUUCCCCAAUCCAAAAACCCUUAAAUCCCUAAAAAAAAAAAAUACACGCUUAAAAGACAGGAAAUGAACGGUCUUUCUUUUUCUCUCUUCACCAAAAAAAUCUAUCAAUUCCCAAUAUCCCACCCACAAUUGCUGCAUCUCGAUUCUCUUGAAGGUUUCCAAAAAUCUCAAAAAACUCAAGGUAAUAUUUAUACUAUUGUUCCGUCCUUUUUAGGGAAAAUAUUUAUAAUCUAAAUUCUUUGUUUUAUGUUUUUGAAGAUUUUAGGCAAUAAUAUUGGAAUUGGAGUUAGGAGAGCAGGGUCUAGAUGAAGAGAACGGCCAGCUGUUGAAAGAGAAGGUAGUUACGAUUAAGAAGGUUGUUGCUGAAAAAUAAUAGAUUUUUGCUUUUGGAGUAAGAUUUGGCAGAAUGUAGGCCAUAAUUUUUUGCUUUUUGUUGUUCAAUGUUUGGCUACAGAAGAGUGAUUAUUUUGAUUUCGAGUUGUUGAAGUAAAAUCUAAAAAGUGGGUUCUUGGUUUUUGAGUGGUUUUGGACAUGGCCAAGAUACCAGCUAUUAAAAGAGAAGGAAGUUACAGUUGAUUUAUUGUAUUAAUUAUUUUAUUUUAUUUUUUUGGUAGACCUAGGAUGAUAGUUUUUGAGGCAAUGAUCCAUUUGCUAUAACUCAAUUGAUCUACAUUUAUUAUUGGAGUUACAAACAGUGAAAAGGAAGGUGAUUAAUUAAUUAAAACUUGUUAGAAAAAUAGUUUGUAUCGCGUGAGAUCCGCUUUCUCCAUCUGGUGUUUGUAUAAUUACUCCUCACUGGU